GGCCUCAGCCGGCGCACCUGGCGGAGGAGGAACCUCGCGACGCGCUCUCGGGCAUCGGUUUCUCCCAGCAAAGCUUGGAGGGUUUAGCUGCGCGGAGAGCUCAGCGAGCUCUUCUGUGUCUGUUUGGGGCGUGUGGGCUCCGGGAGCGUGAGGACCGGGAAGCUAGGAGGCUCCUUCCCUUCUGGCGGCUCCCUCACUGAGACCGGGCGGUUUGGUUGCGGGGGAAGUGGAGACGAGCCGCCCUUGACCUUUGACUGCAAGAACUCGCCUUGAGCAGGAUAGAGGCACGUGGACGGUGACCCUCGGGAUGCAAUAAAUGCUGAGACAGAUCAGCAAACAUUGAGUGGGCCAGACACUGUUCUGAAAAAUACGCAGUCGACUUUUGAACAGCACAGGCUUGAACUGCAUGCGGCCACUAAUACUCGGACUUUCUUCUGCCUUUGCCACCCCUAAGACAGCAAGACCCACCCCUCCUGCUCCUCAGCCUACUCGAUGUGAUGAUGUCUGGCUUCCUUUUCCCUUCAAUGGAAUAACAUAUACAAACUCUACCUAGGAGUGCUGUGUGAAGUACAUGCCAGCCUACAAGACAUGUCUCUAACCAAGUCGAAAGAGUGCAGUAUUCAUUCAUUCACUCAUUCAUUCAUUCAACAAAUGUUUAUUAAUAGGUAU
rnacentral:antisense_RNA from 1 species